GCAAGUCGAGGGGUAACAGGGUAGCAAUACCGCUGACGACCGGCGCACGGGUGAGUAACGCGUAUGCAACCUGGCCUAGUAACUGGGGGAAUAGCUCCCUGAAAGGGGGAAUUAACACCGCAUAACACUAUUGAUUCGCAUGGAUUAGUAGUUAAAUGUAGCGAUACAGGUUAUAGAUGGGCAUGCGUGACAUUAGCUAGUUGGUGAGGUAACGGCUCACCAAGGCUACGAUGUCUAGGGGUUCUGAGAGGAAGGUCCCCCACACUGGUACUGAGACACGGACCAGACUCCUACGGGAGGCAGCAGUGAGGAGUAUUGGUCAAUGGGCGCAAGCCUGAACCAGCCAUGUCGCGUGCAGGAAGACUGCCCUAUGGGUUGUAAACUGCUUUUAUAGUAGAAGAAACACAUCUACGUGUAGAUGUCUGCCAGUAUACUAUGAAUAAGCAUCGGCUAACUCCGUGCCAGCCGCUGC
rnacentral:rRNA from 1 species